UACGUAUGGUGCAAGCGUUAUCCGGAUUUACUGGGUGUAAAGGGAGCGUAGGCGGCGCGUUAAGUCUGAUGUGAAAACCCGAGGCUCAACCACGGGAGUGCAUUGGGAACUGGCGGGCUGGAGUGCCGGAGAGGUAAGCGGAAUUCCUAGUGUAGCGGUGAAAUGCGUAGAUAUUAGGAGGAACACCAGUGGCGAAGGCGGCUUACUGGACGGCAACUGACGCUGAGGCUCGAAAGCGUGGGGAGCAAACAGG
rnacentral:rRNA from 1 species